GGCGAUUCUCAUCGAGUGCCGAUUAAGCUUAUUAACCCGCAAACCGUGGCGCACCACCCGUCAAUUGACGUUUUAUCGCGCGACGACGGCCACGAAUCGACACCUCAGCUUUUUGCGGUCGUCACUCGCGAAAAUAUUAUCACUCUGGAUACUUGGUCAAGAAGAGAUUUGGCCGAUGAGAGACGCAGAUGCAUGUGCGGUUCGUCGAUGGGACGAAAAGAGAGGACCUCAAUAACCAACACGAAAGUGUCAAAUCUCGCGGAAGUUCGACGGGACGGAGCGAUACACAUAAAUCGUUGAUCGUGCGACACCUCAUGUGUCACACUGUUAACGUGUUAACGAGAAAAAUCACGCGUUAGCGGUGAUGUACGACAGUCGACGACCGAGCGCCGGCGCCCCGGCGGUUUCCACUUUCAAGGACAUGUUCCAGCGGCAAUUCUUAUAAACCAGAACACAGGUCCUCCCUUCAUCAUCCUCCUCUUCACAUCUCUCUCCUUGCACUGUACGUGGCGGCUGGCAUCUCGUUACACAAGGGUGUCGAGUAACCCCGACAAUGUCCGAUACACAGUAUCGGUUGAUUCCGGAUGGUGCAGAAAGAGCGAGCACCGAGCGGACGAUCAUCAUGCUUCCCGAUUAACGACAGACCUUGCUGCGAACUUUAAUCUCUUAUCUGUACUCGUUGAAACUUGUUUCAACGUUAAAUAUUUAGAUCGGAAUUUACAGUUAAAUCUGAGUUCUUUAGUUGAAUCAUGUGAUAUACGUGACAGAGUGAAAUAUUUGUAACCGAGAUUCAACUAAAAAUUCACGCACACAUGCAAUUCUUAAAUUCUAAAUUCAAAUCUGAAUAUCUCACACUCGAGACCAGUUUCAAGUAACAAUUAUUAAUAUGGCUUUUAUAUAUUUAUUUAGAGUAGGAUUCGAGUUUUUCAACAGAAUUAUGACAUUUAAAUCUAUAAUCUCGAUUUAACUGAAAAAUUCUCAUCUCACUACAAAUUUAAAUCUGAGUAUCUGACUUGCGAUAAGUUUCAAGUAAUAAUUAUUAAUACACGCUUUGAAUUAAGUUAGAGCUCUUCAAUUCAUUCAUACGAUAUAUAUGUGAGUUUUAUUUAUAAUUAUAAAUUAUAUGUAUUAUUAAUUAUACAUUUGUAACCGUGAUAUAAGUGAAAAAUUCAUGUUGAAUUCUGAAUCUGAAUAUCUCAUGUAAGAUAUUUCAAGUUUUAAAAAAACGUAACAAUUAUUAUAAGUUUUGAAAUGAAUGCUUUAUGAAGCGUCGUUUAUUAUUGUGCGUUGUUCGUAUCAAUAUCACGGUUUUCUUAAUUUUUCUCUUCCAUAACACACUUUGAAAGAAGAAGGUUUAGGAUUUCAGGGUUUUCCUUUCUAAAGAAUUGUCUUUUCGAUCUUCACUUUCUGAAAUCGAGAAUUUGCUGAGUCAGCAAAUUAACGUGAUUAAUUACACUUCCUCUCUUCCAAGCGCACUUGGUCGAUGCGCGAAUCACGAUAUUUUUUUCGAAAGUAUAACGUUACGGGGUGAGACGAGAUCACACCAGUGAGUGAAAUUUUAUAGCGCAAUAAAAAUAUUUUUAGGAUCUUUUAGUAGGAUGUCGCACUCAAGUCCCGUUCUUCGAGAGAUUAAUGGGUCCGAGUAUUAAUAGGAGACGAAGCAAUUUUAUGUAACAACGAAUCAAAGUAAUUUUAUGUCAUAUUACGCGAGCAAACAAAAUUCUUCAAUCGAACUCUCUUAUUUUUUAUAUCCUUUUCAUUACACACUAAAAGAAGACGAACGCGUGAGUGGCUUCA